AUGCGUGUCCGGGCAGAUAUUAUGGUACAGGAACCGUUGGUUCGGUAUGUCACUAUCAGUUCUGCGAAGACGAAGACGAUUGAAACCUAUGUUGUUAUGUAUGAGAGUUUGCCAUAUUAUUGCUACUCAUGUGGUAUUCUAGGUCAUUCCUCCAUGCUUUGCCCAAACCCAGGUACACGUGAUGUGAACAGAGACCUUCCUUAUGCUGCGAAGAAAUUGUGUGUUAUGGAGGUCUUGUCCAGGAAAUCAAGUGGAUCCAAGUCGGGCAAUAAUUUUUCAUAUUCAUCUUUUGAUCCAAGGAACCGGGCUAACAGUGCUACUUCUGAUGAUGCCAGACCAGCUAAUAAUAGUGGCAAGUAUUUCCCCCAAAAUUAUGAGGGUGUUGGGGAAGCUGAGAGAUCAUCUCCUAUCAUGAACAACCGAUCAGGCAGGGGGCGUGGUCGUUCCUCUAGUGACCGGAGCCAUGGUCGGUCUGCCGUUGCUGGAGAUGAGAUCUUUCCUUAUCAGAGGACCAAGAGCAGUAUGGCUGGACAGAAGAGGAAGCCCACUAAGAAUCAUGUUUCUGUGCAUUUAUCAGAUGCGCAACCUUCAAGUUCUGCUGGUAUUUUGACUAUUGUGGUUUCUGACAAAUCUGGCAAAGAUGUUGGCACGUCUACUGAGGUUUUUCUGGUUGUUUUGCUAUCAGUUCUGAGGGACAAAAUGGUGGUCUAG
rnacentral:rRNA from 1 species